rnacentral:rRNA from 1 species
GCGAACGCUGGCGGCGUGGUUUAGGCAUGCAAGUCGAGCGGUCCCGCAAGGGAUAGCGGCAAAAGGGUGAGUAACGCGUGGGUAACCUGCCCCCGGAGUUGGGAUAACAUGUCGAAAGACGUGCUAAUACCAGAUGAGACCACGACCUCGCAUGGGGUUGUGAGAAAAGGUGGCGCAAGCUGCCGAUUGGGGAUGUGCCCGCGUCCUAUCAGCUAGUUGGUAGGGUAACGGCCUACCAAGGCGACGACGGGUAGCUGGUCUGAGAGGAUGGUCAGCCACACUGGGACUGAGACACUGCCCAGACUCCUACGGGAGGCUGCAGUCGAGAAUCUUUCGCAAUGGACGCAAGUCUGACGAUGCGACGCCGCGUGGAGGAUGAAGGUCUUCGGAUCGUAAACGCCUUUUAGUGGGGAAGAAUCUUGUGGGGUUGAAUAGGCCCUGCAGGCGACGGUACUCACAGAAUAGGCCACGGCUAGCUCCGU